rnacentral:tRNA from 1 species
GUCCCCGUAGCACAAUGGAUAGUGCAGCGGACUUCUAAGCCGUUGAUGUUGGUUCGAUUCCAACCAGGGACACCA